UAAAAUCGUAAGCUCAGUUGAUCAUCUAUUUUACUUCGCUUCCAUCUUCCCGCAUUGGCCUAUUAACAAGGUAAAUGGAUUUGUUUUUGAUAUUGUCUAUAUUCCUUCCUUUACUAAAUUUUGUAUUCUCAGAAAUUAAUACGCAAUAUCAUUUGGUUUGUCAGGUAUUUAUCGUAACUUCGUAUGGAAGGAGAGAACCGAAAUUGGAACAACUGUGCUGCAAUCACAUGUGCUUUAUCCUCACUCAUUUUUUAUGAUCAUUAUUGUUGUUCCACAUCAUAAUUCGUCCCAACAUACCUAGGCUUGAUCAUUGGUUUCAUUUAGCAACGAUUAGUAGUGAGUAAAUAAGCUAGAGAAGAGCUACGAAAAAAAUAAGGAAAGACGGUACAGCGUUGUCGUGUACAAAAAUCUGCAAUUUCCAUCAUAAAAUUCUCAAAACUAAAGCAAAAAUGCAAGCGGAAAUCUACAUAUAUACAUAAACUAGAAUGUGACCGAAAAUUGGAAUGGCGACAAAAUGAUAUUUAAUUCUGCAAAAGAAAUAGUUCCCACGUUCGAAAUAUUAAGAAAAAACUCAAGCGAAACAACGUAAACUUCAUUAUAAUAUUUAGUGAAUAUUGUGAAUCCUAAUUUUUCUUUAAAAAAGUGUUACUUUCAUUUCUUUGAUUUAAAUUAAUUUUUCUGCAUUCUUUUGUUUUUUUUUUCUUCUUUGCAAAAGUAUAAAAAAAAAGAAACAACAAAACAAGAAUUUUGUAAAUUCCGUGGCGUUUGGUAUAGAACAUUAGCUGCUACACACUCGAAUUACAUAUUUAUCACCUGAUUACAAAAUUAAUAAUGAUCAUUAAACCUGUCAGUUGAAUGUGCUGUGUGUGCAGUUAUGUUCGAUUUCAAACGUUGCGGUUGAUAUCAUAAAAAUCUCCACUAAAGAUUAUUGUUUGAUCUCAACAUGUCAGUCAAACAUACAACGACCCAACAUGCAUGACACAACAAUUUCAAUUAUCACAGUCUCUUACGUCUGAAUUAUCCGCAUCUCUUAUUACAUGCACAUUUACACCAUUAAGCUGUUGUUGCUGUAACUUCAUCUCUGAGAAAGUACUUUCAACGAGGGAGCAUAUCAACAAAGCACGCGACCUCUAUACGACAGGUUUCAAUGGAAUUGCGAAAGAUUUCUAUCAACCCUUUUGUCGUUUUUCUGCACAUUCAUGCUAGCCAUUUUCUAAAGUUUUUGGAAACAAUGAUUGCUUGGAAGAUUAAAGAAGGUUUCAUCUCACCAAAAAUCAUAAGAAUCGUCCAUUUUGCCGUAACAGAGUCCAGCGAUCAACACCUUCAAUUACAAAAAUUUCUGAAGUGGUGCAAAUUUCCCUGUCAUUUAUCAGUAGAUAAUUUGGUUAAUUGCAGUUUUUUUUAUAUUGUGGAAAAAGAUUUUAAUUUUCUGUAAGUACUCUGCCCGUUGCCGAUUCGAAUUAAUAUUAAAGAAAGUGUAUAUAUUUUUGCUUAAAAAUUUUCUUAUUCUCAGAAUAUACCUUCGCGCAGUAUCGUAAUUUCAUACUUUUUAUUAAAAUCGUAAGCUCAGUUGAUCAUCUAUUUUACUUCGCUUCCAUCUUCCCGCAUUGGCCUAUUAACAAGGUAAAUGGAUUUGUUUUUGAUAUUGUCUAUAUUCCUUCCUUUACUAAAUUUUGUAUUCUCAGAAAUUAAUACGCAAUAUCAUUUGGUUUGUCAGGUAUUUAUCGUAACUUCGUAUGGAAGGAGAGAACCGAAAUUGGAACAACUGU